GGUAAGAAGAAGAUAAAAAAGAUCCUACUAGCAGAAGAUAUAAUUUUGGUUGAAUCCCGUAACAAACUGUAGGAAAACAAUACUAACAGGGAUACAACUGACAGUAGGAGGGAUAAGCACACAACACCAGAAAUGCUUGAAUUAAGAAGAAUGGAACAUCGUUAGAUAAUAAUGGGCAAAGAAUCUGAAAGACUGUGGACUCUAUUUCUAACUCAGCUUCCCGUGACCACUGAAGAACAGAAGAAUUUUCAAUGAGGAAUUAAUGUUAUGAAGAGGUUUAAUAUCAUAUAGCUCAUGGCACACGAAAGAUCCUUAGCUCUUAGCUCAUGAUAAUCCGGAUAGAAUUUAACCUUCAAAACUUAAAAGUUUCAUCUUGCCGACUGCAGAAGCACUGAGAAACCGUCACUGUUGUUAAAUUCCAUUGGAAUUGAGGCUGACCAGCGCCCAUCAGGACUUCUCAAAAUUGAUCAUAUUUUCAUGAAGCAAGAUUACAAGGAAACCAACUGUUUUUCUACCCUGGGAAGUACAUGUGUUGAAAGGAAAAUUUAGUUCCACAAGUACCUGGAGAGCCUUUUACCAGGAGUCAGACCCACAGGUUUUCAAACAGAGAAAAAUAAAUUUUAAAAACAUCAUGCCCAUAAGUUAAAAAACAUUUUGCCUCUGUUAAGCAGAGUUAAUGAGAAUACCCAAAUCCAAAUGCAAAAACCAAAAUAAAAAUUUUGUGUUUGGGGGGUUCAUAA